rnacentral:tmRNA from 1 species
GGGGACGUCCCGGUUUCGACGGGAAGCACGUUGACCCUAACUGCGAGCCGAGUGUGAAUUAUCACUUGUAAAAACUAAUUCAAAAACAAACGACAACGAUAACGAAGUCGUUGCGAGUUCAGGGUACGCAUACGCGUUCGCCUAAGCCGCUGUCGUAAGGAGAGGAACCUCACCACUCCCUUAACGGCAUAUACCCGUGUGAGGUGCCACUUCCUCUGUUGGUUAACGGAGCUGUAAGUGAAAGACAAGUAACCUUACUUUUAGCGCAUUUGUGUAUUUAGUUCGCUUUAAGGACAUCUUUUAAAUACACUACGCUUGUAGAUGUUUUGGCAUGUACUUUUCGGACGAGGGUUCGACUCCCUCCGUCUCCACAG